rnacentral:rRNA from 1 species
UACGGAGGGAGCUAGCGUUGUUCGGAAUUACUGGGCGUAAAGCGCACGUAGGCGGCUUUGUAAGUUAGAGGUGAAAGCCCGGAGCUCAACUCCGGAACUGCCUUUAAGACUGCAUCGCUUGAAUCCAGGAGAGGUGAGUGGAAUUCCGAGUGUAGAGGUGAAAUUCGUAGAGAUCGGGAGGAACACCAGUGGCGAAGGCGGCCUUCUGGACCAGUACUGACGCUGAGGCACGAAAGCGUGGGGAGCAAACAGGG